rnacentral:misc_RNA from 1 species
UACGAUGAAAAACAGCGUGACAAGCGCGAGGACGCCAAGCUGGCCGAGCUGCAGGCCGUCGGCGAGCCGCACGACGGCCGCGGGCACGCCGACAAGCGUCAAAGCCUGGCUCAGGAUUGAAGCCCCUAUCAGCAUGAAGGCUAGCGCCCCGAAGCUCGCGACCGACGCCAUUGCGGCGCCGAGGAUCCGGCGCGGCGUCAACCGGCCGAAGGUGGCCCCGAGCGCGAAGGUGGUGGCGACGCCCAGCCCGGCCGCUUCCGUCGGCGUUGCGAGCCCGAGAUAGAUGGUGCCGAUAACGCUGCCGAUGAGCACGACCAGCGGCCCGAGCCCGAGGAGGAUCGCGCGCGCCGAGACGCUCUCCACCUCCCGGUCGGACCCGUAGA